GUAACUGGUGUGCCCCCCGGUCUUCAAAACCGGCGUGGGAUGUCUCAGGCAUCCCUGGUGGGUUCGAUUCCCACAGGC
rnacentral:tRNA from 1 species